CCCCUCCCCUCUAGAACCCUCAGUUUCUUUUUCAGAGUCCAUCAUCUCUCAUGAAGUACAGAUCUGUGAUUCAACAGUCUUUCUAUGCAGAAUUUUUUACUAAACUGACUGAACUGUUUCAUAUGCUGACAAGACAAAUUUCUCAGAUGCAGCUGUCAGCCAUGGGCUCUUUGUCUACACUGACGGAGCGCUCCACUGUCAACACCUGAUGAGGCUGUUUGGUGCCAAAGCGAAUAUCCAGUGGAUCCCAUUCUGUGCGGACACAACUCAGAACCUGCAAGAAAUGUAUCAAAAAGAAAAGGCUACAAGGAACACCUGAGCAGAAGAAUAAAGAAAUAAAAC